rnacentral:lncRNA from 10 species
CUUGAACCCAGGAGGCAGAGGCUGCAGUGAGCAGAGAUCAUGCCAUUGCACUCCAACCUGGGUGAUAGAGUGAGACUCUGUCUCAAAAAAAAAGAAAAGAAAAGAAAAACGAAAAAGGAGAGAAUUACUAGGCAACAUUCAUUUGUAUUUAGUCUGUUGAAAUGUCCUCAAUGGAAAGUCACCAAAAGAUUUUUGGUGUGGUUUAGAUAAACCAAAAAGGUUCUGAUAGAUGAGAAAAGUGAAGUAUUUUAGCUUAUAAACAAUUAUGAGUAUUUUAAAAGUUGUAAAAUGAUGGCUUUCAAACUGAAGCAUCAUAACCCCUUUUCAUGUUUCACCUGGAGGUCUAAAAGAGUCAUGGAGAUGCUGUGGUGAGGGGAGAGGCCAGGCUUAGAGACCUUCAAGAUCUUCAACACCCCCCCAACCCCAACUCUGCACUCCAAAUGGCCACUCUCCAAACACACCCCUGGAAAACAACCAAUGCUCCUCAGAGUGUUUGACUCCUGAUACCACUUAUCUGGUGAUAAGAACUUUUGGGCCAGGCACAGUGGCUCAUCCCUGUAAUCCCAGCACUUUGGGAGGCCAAACCAGGUGGAUCACUUGAGGUCAGGAAUUCAAGACCAGCCUGGCCUGCAGCAUGGUGAAACCCCUUCUCUACAAAAAAUAUGAAAAAUUAGCCAGGUGCGGUGGUGAGUGCCUGUAAUCCCAGCAACUCGGGAGGCUGAGGCAGGAGAAUCACUUGAACCUGGGAGGCAGAGGUUGCAAUGAGCUGAGAUUGCGCCACUGCACUCCAGCCUCGGGGACAGAGCAAGACUCAGUCUCAAAAAAAAAAAAAAAAAAAAAAAGAACUCAUGGAACUCUCCAAAGAGCAAAGAUAAUUAACUGAAAAACUAAAACAAAACAAAAUGAAAACACAAAAACUCCCUUUAACAUGUAUGCAAUCUGUUUGAAUAUAGUCACUUGAGCUGAAAAGAUGUUCACAAAAGCACAGAGUGGCUUCUCUGGCAUUAAAACAAGAUUGAGAAUCACUGCUUUAGUGUAAAAUCACCCCCUGCUGGGCCUCAUCUCCAUUUCUCUUACACUGGGACUGGUAGGCCAGCUAUCAAAGAAAACAUCUGAGUAGGUCGGUCUCUACGGAGGUCAGCACCAACCAGCAAGGCCAGGUUCCUUGCCUAGAAAACAGCUCUUAAGGUUAGCACAACCUACCUAAACCGACGCCCACUUCCCUCUCUGGUGAGCCAUCUCCUGCCCUCCCCUUGGACAAGCCCCUACUCUAGCCACCCUGGACACCAUGGCUGGAGUCCCAUACUUGACUUUCUCCUCUGUCUACACUGAAACACAGCCAAUUUUAGCCAGUAAAUGUUAAUCACCUUAGAGGAUCUCAGAUAAGGACAACACAAAUCCACUCUUUUGCAGCAGCUCUAAUGUUAGGGGUCUCAAGUUUUAACUAAAGUGUCCUGACCUCCCUCACUGUGGAAAGGCCUAAAACAAGUCUGAAGGGUAAUGGAUUAGAAACAGACAGUUGAGCUGAAAGGAUGUUGGCUGCAAAUCACCACGGGCUUGGUAUCCAACAAAUUCACAUGGUCUGGUCUGUUAGGAGCACUGGUAAAAGCCCUUAACAACUGGCUCUCUGGGUAAAGAAAAAAGGAGGGGUGGGAAGCCCAGAUUUGUGGCAUUUGCUCAUUUCAUGGUAUUAAAUGGUAUCCCACCAUGGCAGAUUUCAAAAUAUCAACUUGACAUCAACCAGCUCACAAAAUCCUGAAAAAUGUAAUGAUUAGCGAGUGUGAGCCAGCACAACUGAGGAUGCGGUCUGAUGUCAGGCCAAAGAGAAUAUAAGUAUUAUUCACUUCAAAUUUAAAUAUGUAAAACUGGCAAAAAAAUUCAAGUGCCUCAAGGCCUUCUUUUUAAACUUAGGCACAGAUACUAGCAAGCUUUACCCAUAUCAAUAAACUGGGCCGGGCGCGGUGGCUCACGCCUGUAAUCCCAGCACUUUGGGAGGCCGAGGCGGGUGGAUCACGAGGUCAGGAGAUCAAGGCCAUUCUGGCUAACACUGUGAAACCCCGUCUCUACUAAAAAUACAAAAAAUUAGCCGGGCAUGGUGGCGGGCGCCUGCAGUCCCAGCUACUCUCCAGGCUGAGGCAGGAGAAUGGGGUGAACCCAGGAGGCGGAGCUUGCAGUGAGCCGAGAUGGCGCCUGGGCAACAGAGCGAGACUCUGUCUCAAAAACAAAACAAAACAAAAAAACAAAAUAAACUGAUACAGCCAAUGAAAACAAUAAUACAUUACUCACCUUAUAAACAGUGUCCACAUAAUUUACUGUUCAAACUAGAGUUUCUGAGAGUGUUAUAUGAGACAACAGGAGUAAGCCAGAGCUGUGUUAGUCAAACUAGGACAUGACUUCUUCUUUUUUAGAUGUACUAAUAGUAGCUUCUUGCCAAAGGGCUUCUUAUUACUUCAUGGUGGAAAACAAUGUUUUAUUUAUGUAGCUAUUUACCAUCCAGGCAGGUAACUUAUUGAGUACCACGGGUGACUAUUAUGCUUCGAG